UGAGACAGUUCGGUCCCUAUCCGUCGCAGGCGUAGGAAAUUUGAGAAGACCUGUCCUUAGUACGAGAGGACCGGGAUGGACGUACCUCUGGUGUCCCAGUUGUUCUGCCAAGGGCAUGGCUGGGUAGCUAUGUACGGAAUGGAUAAGCGCUGAAAGCAUCUAAGCGCGAAGCCAACUUCAAGAUAAGAUUUCCCACCGCAAGGGUAAGACCCCAGAAAGACUAUCUGGUUGAUAGGUCGAAGGUGUAAGUGCAGCAAUGUAUUUAGCUUAUCGAUACUAAUAGGUCGAGGACUUGACCAAU
rnacentral:rRNA from 1 species